rnacentral:tRNA from 1 species
UAGUAUCGACAGUUUGGCUGAGUGGUCCAAGGCGCUAGCUUCGGGCGCUAGUCCGUAGGGGCGCGAGUUCGAACCUCGCGUUGCUAU